GGAAAAUUAGUUGAACAAGGAGGACUUAACAAUCCCCAUGUGCUGCUAAAGCGGUUGGGCACAAGGAUGCGGGCAUCGCUAAAGCGGCACCUUAGCCGCUAAAGUAGACAAGGAUCGCUUAAGUGAACCUCAGCCAUACAACCAAGGCCUCUAAAGAGACUCUAUGUUGCUAAAGCAACUAUCGCUUAAGUGACCAAAGUAUUGGCUAAGCAGUUACACAAGAUGGUGCCAGG
rnacentral:lncRNA from 1 species